UACGUAGGGUGCAAGCGUUUGUCCGGAAUUAUUGGGCGUAAAGAGCUCGUAGGCGGUCUGUCACGUCGGCUGUGAAAACCUGGGGCUCAACUCCGGGCCUGCAGCCGAUACGGGCAGACUAGAGUUCGGCAGGGGAGACUGGAAUUCCUGGUGUAGCGGUGAAAUGCGCAGAUAUCAGGAGGAACACCGGUGGCGAAGGCGGGUCUCUGGGCCGUAACUGACGCUGAGGAGCGAAAGCGUGGGGAGCGAACAGG
rnacentral:rRNA from 1 species